rnacentral:tRNA from 1 species
GUCCCUGUAGUGCAAUGGAUAGCGCGUUGGACUUCUAAUCCAAAGGUCGUGGGUUCGAAUCCCCCUUGGAAUG